rnacentral:rRNA from 1 species
AGCACGUAGGUGGGUUUGUAAGUCAGAUGUGAAAGCCUUCUGUUCAACGGAAGAAUUGCAUCUGAAACUGCAAACCUUGAGUAUAGGAGGGGAGAGUGGAACUUCUGGUGGAGCGGUGAAAUGCGUAGAUAUCAGAAGGAACGCCGGCGGCGAAAGCGGCUCUCUGGUCUAUAACUGACACUGAGGUGCGAAAGCUAGGGGAGCAAACGGGAUUAGAUACCCCGGUAGUCCUAGCCGUAAACGAUGGGCACUAAGUAGAGGGG